UACGUAGGGUGCGAGCGUUAAUCGGAAUUACUGGGCGUAAAGCGUGCGCAGGCGGUUCGUUGUGUCGGCGGUGAAAGCCCCGGGCUCAACCUGGGAAUGGCCGUUGAAACUGGCGAACUGGAGUGUGGCAGAGGGGGGUGGAAUUCCGCGUGUAGCAGUGAAAUGCGUAGAGAUGUGGAGGAACACCGAUGGCGAAGGCAGCCCCCUGGGUCAACACUGACGCUCAUGCACGAAAGCGUGGGGAGCAAACAGG
rnacentral:rRNA from 1 species